rnacentral:rRNA from 1 species
CGAAAUGGCGGAGGCUUACACAUGCAAGUCGAGCGGAGAGAGGUAGCUUGCUACUGAUCUUAGCGGCGGACGGGUGAGCAAGGCUUAGGAAUCUGCCUAUUAGUGGGGGACAACAUUUCGAAAGGAAUGCUAAUACCGCAUACGUCCUACGGGAGAAAGCAGGGGAUCUUCGGACCUUGCGCUAAUAGAUGAGCCUAAGUCGGAUUAGCUAGUUGGUGGGGUAAAGGCCUACCAAGGCGACGAUCUGUAGCGGGUCUGAGAGGAUGAUCCGCCACACUGGGACUGAGACACGGCCCAGACUCCUACGGGAGGCAGCAGUGGGGAAUAUUGGACAAUGGGCGCAAGCCUGAUCCAGCCAUGCCGCGUGUGUGAAGAAGGCCUUAUGGUUGUAAAGCACUUUAAGCGAGGAGGAGGCUACUUUAGUUAAUACCUAGAGAUAGUGGACGUUACUCGCAGAAUAAGCACCGGCUAACUCUGUGCCAGCAGCCGCGGUAAUACAGAGGGUGCAAGCGUUAAUCGGAUUUACUGGGCGUAAAGCGCGCGUAGGCGGCUAAUUAAGUCAAAUGUGAAAUCCCCGAGCUUAACUUGGGAAUUGCAUUCGAUACUGGUUAGCUAGAGUGUGGGAGAGGAUGGUAGAAUUCCAGGUGUAGCGGUGAAAUGCGUAGAGAUCUGGAGGAAUACCGAUGGCGAAGGCAGCCAUCUGGCCUAACACUGACGCUGAGGUGCGAAAGCAUGGGGAGCAAACAGGAUUAGAUACCCUGGUAGUCCAUGCCGUAAACGAUGUCUACUAGCCGUUGGGGCCUUUGAGGCUUUAGUGGCGCAGCUAACGCGAUAAGUAGACCGCCUGGGGAGUACGGUCGCAAGACUAAAACUCAAAUGAAUUGACGGGGGCCCGCACAAGCGGUGGAGCAUGUGGUUUAAUUCGAUGCAACGCGAAGAACCUUACCUGGCCUUGACAUAGUAAGAACUUUCCAGAGAUGGAUUGGUGCCUUCGGGAACUUACAUACAGUGCUGCAUGGCUGUCGUCAGCUCGUGUCGGGAAGAUGUUGGGUUAAGUCCCGCAACGAGCGCACCCUUUUCCUUAUUUGCCAGCGAGUAUUGUCGGGAACUUUAAGGAUACUUGCCAGUGGACAAACUGGAGGAGGCGGGGGACCACGUCCAGUCAAUCAUGC